rnacentral:rRNA from 1 species
AUACGGAGGGUGCGAGCGUUAUCCGGAUUUAUUAGGUUUAAAGGGUGUGUAGGCGGGGGCCUAAGUCAGUGGUGAAAUCUCACAGCUUAACUGUGAAACUGCCAUUGAAACUGGGUUUCUUGAGUAUAGUUGAGGUAGGCGGAAUGUGUAAUGUAGCGGUGAAAUGCAUAGAUAUUACACAGAACACCGAUUGCGAAGGCAGCUUACUAAGCUAUUACUGACGCUGAUGCACGAAAGCGUGGGUAGCGAACAGGAUUAGAUACCCCAGUAGUCC